CGCGUAGGCGGCCUUCUAAGUCGAACGUGAAAUCCCUGGGCUCAACCCCAGGAACUGCGUCCGAUACUGGAAGGCUCGAAUCCGGGAGAGGGAUGUGGAAUUCCAGGUGUAGCGGUGAAAUGCGUAGAUAUCUGGAGGAACACCGGUGGCGAAGGCGACAUCCUGGACCGGUAUUGACGCUGAGGCGCGAAAGCCAGGGGAGCAAACG
rnacentral:rRNA from 1 species